GAUGAACGCUGGCGGCGUGCCUAAUACAUGCAAGUCGAGCGAACAGAUGAGAAGCUUGCUUCUCUGAUGUUAGCGGCGGACGGGUGAGUAACACGUGGGUAACCUACCUAUAAGACUGGGAUAACUCCGGGAAACCGGGGCUAAUACCGGAUAAUAUUUUGAACCGCAUGGUUCAAUAGUGAAAGACGGUUUCGGCUGUCACUUAUAGAUGGACCCGCGCCGUAUUAGCUAGUUGGUAAGGUAACGGCUUACCAAGGCGACGAUACGUAGCCGAGCUGAGAGGGCGCUCGGCCACACCGGAACUGAGACACGGUCCAGACUCCUACGGGAGGCAGCAGUAGGGAAUCUUCCGCAAUGGGCGAAAGCCUGACGGAGCAACGCCGCGUGAGUGAUGAAGGUCUUCGGAUCGUAAAACUCUGUUGUUAGGGAAGAACAAAUUUGUUAGUAACUGAACAAGUCUUGACGGUACCUAACCAGAAAGCCACGGCUAACUACGUGCCAGCCGCCGCGGUAA
rnacentral:rRNA from 1 species